rnacentral:misc_RNA from 1 species
GAUGAAGAACGUAGCGAAAUGCGAUACGUAAUGUGAAUUGCAGAAUUCAGUGAAUCAUCGAGUCUUUGAACGCACAUUGCGCCCCCUGGUAUUCCGGGGGGCAUGCCUGUCCGAGCGUCAUUGCUGCCCUCAAGCACGGCUUGUGUGUUGGGCCUCCGUCCUCCUCCCGGGGGACGGGCCCGAAAGGCAGCGGCGGCACCGCGUCCGGUCCUCGAGCGUAUGGGGCUCCGUCACCCGCUCUUGUAGGCCCGGCCGGCGCUUGCCGACACAUCAAUCUUUUUUCCAGGUUGACCUCGGAUCAGGUAGGGAUACCCGCUGAACUUAAGCAUAUCAAUAAGCGGAGGA